rnacentral:lncRNA from 1 species
CUGUCCCUGUGCAUCUCCCAAGGGAUGCAUGAGGAGCCAUCCACUGUGGCUCUUCCAAAGAAGAAAAUCAAAUUAAAGCAUUCUUCUUCUUCAAUUCAUUCUUCUUGCAAGAAACCUCCUGCACCAUCCUGACAUUGCUGUUUCAAAUUCUGCCAGGUAACAGUGGCUCUUAGGAAAUAAACUUGUCUGGGAUCUAAAGAUAAUGACAGGGUGACUAAAAUGGUAACUCUUGGAAAAUGUGAGAAGGAAUCUAGAAUCUUUUUUGGUUGACAUGUGGAUAAAAGCUGGCUGACCUGAGACGCAAUGCACUCCUCAUCCAAACUAAAACACUAAUCCCCUAAUUUUUCACAUCACAGAAAGGCAGAAGAACUAAAUUAUAGAAUCAUUAAGACUGGAAAAGACUUCCAAGAUCAUUGAGUCCAACCUUUAAUAGAAGAGUGAUGUUUCAGUACAAGGUGACUAAUGACUUCUCUCUGAGCACAACAAAUGUUCCAGCUGACCUCACUUCUCAAAAUGCAUCAUUCCUUCAAAUAAACGUCAUUAAACACAAGCAGGCAGUGGAAUUACAGAAUUAAAACAUAAUCCUGCAUCACUCGAGUGACUCGGUGCUUAUUAGGAGGGAAACUAUUGCCAUCCAUAAAGGUUUCUGGGGCUGUGCUUUUGCAGCAUAUUCCAUAAUGAAUGAUUUGAUUAAUUGACUGCUGCUCAUCAUCAUUUUCCCAUCACCAAAGAGAAGUUUUAUUGCAGAGCAGGAUGUCUCAGGCUCCCCCACAGCACACAGGAGAGGAGCCUGCUCCAACUCUGGCAGGCACUGAAUCACAUCCAAGCCUAUUUUAGAAUUAAAUGGAAGAUGACCUCGUUACCUGGGUCUCUCCAACCUCACUGUGAAAGCACUUGAGGACUGAGCCAGGGCUUUGCUAUCAGCAGCUAAAACAAAACCCAAACUGCACAAAAAGCCCUUUUUGUUGCGUUGGUGUGAGGCCCUGUCACUAAUCUGUCUGCGGCACAAAUCCCUCCUGAGAAGCAGUUUUACCCAAGUCCAAGUGCACGUGGCUUGAAAAUGUCCACAUACACCCUCCCUGAACAGUUCCAUACACCAGCAACUCAUCCA